rnacentral:rRNA from 1 species
UGGGGAAUUUUGGACAAUGGGCGCAAGCCUGAUCCAGCCAUGCCGCGUGCGGGAAGAAGGCCUUCGGGUUGUAAACCGCUUUUGUCAGGGAAGAAAUCUUCUGAGUUAAUACCUCGGGAGGAUGACGGUACCUGAAGAAUAAGCACCGGCUAACUACGUGCCAGCAGCCGCGGUAAUACGUAGGGUGCAAGCGUUAAUCGGAAUUACUGGGCGUAAAGCGUGCGCAGGCGGUUUUGUAAGACAGAGGUGAAAUCCCCGGGCUCAACCUGGGAACUGCCUUUGUGACUGCAAGGCUUGAGUGCGGCAGAGGGGGAUGGAAUUCCGCGUGUAGCAGUGAAAUGCGUAGAUAUGCGGAGGAACACCGAUGGCGAAGGCAAUCCCCUGGGCCUGCACUGACGCUCAUGCACGAAAGCGCGGGGAGCAAACAGGAUUAGAUACCCUGGUAGUCCACGCCCUAAACGAUGUCAACUGGUUGUUGGGAAGGUUCCUUCUCAGUAACGUAGCUAACGCGUGAAGUUGACCGCCUGGGGAGUACGGCCGCAAGGUUGAAACUCAAGUGAAUUACGGGGUCAUAGCUGUUUCCUG